UACGGAGGAUGCAAGCGUUAUCCGGAAUGAUUGGGCGUAAAGCGUCCGCAGGUGGCUAUGUAAGUCUGCUGUUAAAGAGUGAGGCUCAACCUCAUAAGAGCAGUGGAAACUACAUGGCUAGAGUGCGUUCGGGGCAGAGGGAAUUCCUGGUGUAGCGGUGAAAUGCGUAGAGAUCAGGAAGAACACCGGUGGCGAAAGCGGCGCGCUGGACCUCUUCUGACGCUGAGGCGCGAAAGCCAGGGGAGCGAACGGG
rnacentral:rRNA from 1 species